GUUCUCAACUUGCCCUGUUACAGUGUAUAAUGAAUGCUGCGGCAAGGCUCAUCUUCCUGUUCACCCGCACCUCCCUCACCUCCCCCUUUUGUCAGUCCCUACAUUGGCUUCCCGUAAGAUAUAGGUCUCAAUUUAAAGAAACAAUAUAGGGUCAGAAACACAAACAUGUAUUCCUGACCCUAUAGUGUUUAACCCACCAUUUAGUUGUCUUGCCCCCUCCCCUUAGCCCCCUUAUAAAAGUUUAAAACUCACCUUAUUUCCAGCGCUGGCUUUGCC